UGGGGAAUAUUGCACAAUGGAGGAAACUCUGAUGCAGCAACGCCGCGUGGAGGAUGACGCAUUUCGGUGUGUAAACUCCUUUUAUAAGGGAAGAUAAUGACGGUACCUUAUGAAUAAGCACCGGCUAACUCCGUGCCAGCAGCCGCGGUAAUACGGAGGGUGCAAGCGUUACUCGGAAUCACUGGGCGUAAAGGAUGCGUAGGCUGGAAAUCAAGUCGAGAGUGAAAUCCAACGGCUUAACCGUUGAACUGCUCUCGAAACUGGUUACCUAGAAUAUGGGAGAGGUAGAUUGAAUUGGUGGUGUAGGUGUAAAAUCCGUAGAUAUCGCCAGGAAUACCGAUUGCGAAGGCGAUGUACUGGAACAUUAUUGACGCUGGGGCAUGAAAGCUUGGGGAGCAAACA
rnacentral:rRNA from 1 species